rnacentral:rRNA from 1 species
UACGGGGGGGGCAAGCGUUGUUCGGAUUCAUUGGGCGUACAGGGUGCGUAGGCGGCGCGGUAAGUCGGGUGUGAAAUCUCGGAGCUUAACUCCGAAACUGCAUUCGAUACUGCCGUGCUUGAGGACUGGAGAGGAGACUGGAAUUUACGGUGUAGCGGUGAAAUGCGUAGAUAUCGUAAGGAAGACCAGUGGCGAAGGCGGGUCUCUGGACAGUUCCUGACGCUGAGGCACGAAGGCCAGGGGAGCAAACGGG